GACGAACCGUGCGAACGUUAUUCGGAAUCACUGGGCUUAAAGGGCGCGUAGGCGGGCCGAAAAGUCAGGGGUGAAAUCCUCCAGCCCAACUGGAGAAGCGCCUUUGGUACUGUCGGCCUCGAGGGGUGCAGGGGCAUGCGGAACUCAGGGUGGAGCGGUGAAAUGCGUAGAUAUCCUGAGGAACACCGGUGGCGAAAGCGGCGUGCUGGACACCUUCUGACGCUGAGGCGCGAAAGCCAGGGGAGCAAACGGG
rnacentral:rRNA from 1 species